GGGCGAGUGGCGGAAUUGGCAGACGCGCAGGACUUAGGAUCCUGUCUCGUAAGAGGUAGAGGUUCAACCCCUCUCUCGCCCA
rnacentral:tRNA from 1 species